rnacentral:rRNA from 1 species
UGGGGAAUAUUGCACAAUGGGGGAAACCCUGAUGCAGCGACGCCGCGUGAUUGAAGAAGUAUUUCGGUAUGUAAAGAUCUAUCAGCAAGGAAGAAAAUGACGGUACUUGACUAAGAAGCCCCGGCUAACUACGUGCCAGCAGCCGCGGUAAUACGUAGGGGGCAAGCGUUAUCCGGAUUUACUGGGUGUAAAGGGAGCGUAGGCGGUCUGGCAAGCCAGAAGUGAAAGCCCGGGGCUUAACCCCGGGACUGCUUUUGGAACUGUUAGACUAGAGUGUCGGAGAGGUAAGUGGAAUUCCUAGUGUAGCGGUGAAAUGCGUAGAUAUUAGGAGGAACACCAGUGGCGAAGGCGGCUUACUGGACGAUAACUGACGCUGAGGCUCGAAAGCGUGGGGAGCAAACA